rnacentral:rRNA from 1 species
GGAGUCUGGGCCGUGUCUCAGUCCCAAUGUGACCGUUCAUCCUCUCAGACCGGUUACCGAUCGUCGGCUAGGUAAGCCGUUACCCCACCUACUACCUAAUCGGACGCAGACCCCUCUUUAAGCGAUAAAUCUUUGGUAUUCGUCAGAUGUCCUCAAAAUACAACAUAGAGUAUUAAUCCGACUUUCGCCGGGCUAUCCUCUACUAAGGGGAAGGUUGGAUACGCGUUACUCACCCGUGCGCCGGUCGCCAGCGACAAUAGCAAGCUAUCGUCCUGCUGCCCCUCGACUUGCAUGUGUUAAGCCUGUAGCUAGCGUUCAUC